UAAACUCAAAUGAAUUGACGGGGGCCCGCACAAGCGGUGGAGCAUGUGGUUUAAUUCGAAGCAACGCGAAGAACCUUACCAGGUCUUGACAUCCUUUGACCACUCUAGAGAUAGAGCUUCCCCUUCGGGGGCAAAGUGACAGGUGGUGCAUGGUUGUCGUCAGCUCGUGUCGUGAGAUGUUGGGUUAAGUCCCGCAACGAGCGCAACCCUUAUUGUUAGUUGCCAUCAUUCAGUUGGGCACUCUAGCAAGACUGCCGGUGACAAACCGGAGGAAGGUGGGGAUGACGUCAAAUCAUCAUGCCCCUUAUGACCUGGGCUACACACGUGCUACAAUGGGAAGUACAACGAGUUGCGAAGUCGCGAGGCUAAGCUAAUCUCUUAAAGCUUCUCUCAGUUCGGAUUGCAGGCUGCAACUCGCCUGCAUGAAGCCGGAAUCGCUAGUAAUCGCGGAUCAGCACGCCGCGGUGAAUACGUUCCCGGGCCUUGUACACACCGCCCGUACAGCUAAACUCAAAUGAAUUGACGGUACACACCGCCCGU
rnacentral:rRNA from 1 species